CAGGCAUUUUGCAUUGCGACAGCUGCGGCCACGUGUCUGGGGUGGGGGAGGGCUGGCUUGUGUAACAACAACAGCAGCAGCAACAGCAGCAGCAACAACACGCGUGUUUUGCUGCUGGGGUGGGAUACAACGCGCAGCUUUGCCAUGUCUCUCUACCGGAACUCUAUCUGGUUCGUGAAAGGUCUGCAGGAGUACACAACGGGCGGCUACGAAGCGGCCGCCAAGAACUUCCGGGCCCAGGAUUUGGAGGUGGACGCGAGCGGCCGCUCCUUCAUGGUGACGGGGGCCAACAGCGGCAUCGGCAAGGCGGCCGCCCUCCACAUGGCCAAGAGAGGCGGAGCCGUGCACCUCGUGUGUCGCAACCGCGAGCGAGCCGAGCAGGCGCGCGAAGACAUCGUCAAGGAGAGCGGCAACCAGAGCGUGUUCGUGCACCUGCUGGACAUGUCCCACCCGAGCAAGGUCUGGGAGUUUGCGGAAAACUUCAAGAAGGAGAACGAGACGCUCAACGUCCUGGUGAACAACGCUGGCUGCAUGGUGAACCAGAGGGAGCUCACCGCGGACGGACUUGAGAAAAACUUUGCCACAAACACGCUGGGCACCUACAUCCUGACCACGGCCUUCUUGCCCCUGCUGGAGAAGAGCGGCGACGACGCUCGAGUGGUGACGGUGUCGUCAGGCGGGAUGCUGGUGCAGAAGCUUGACCCCGAUGACCUCCAGGUGGAGCGAGGUCCGUUUGACGGCACCAUGGUCUACUCCCAGAACAAGCGGCAGCAAGUGGCGAUGACCGAGCAGUGGGCAGCGCGGCACAGAGGCGUUCACUUCUCCAGCAUGCACCCGGGAUGGGCAGACACACCCGCGGUGCGCACGGCCAUGCCGGAAUUCCACCGGCGCAUGAACGGGCGGCUGCGCACGGAGGAGCAGGGCGCCGACACGGUGGUGUGGCUGGCGCUGUCCCCCGCCGCUCGCGCCCACCCCAGCGGCCUCUUCUUCCAGGAUCGCAAGGCCGUGGCGACGCAUCUCCCGCUUGCCUGGACUCGCUCCUCUGACGCCGAAGCGCAGAGGCUCAUGGGGAAACUGGAAGAAAUCGCCGCGCGGUUCAAGGCCCCCGCUUGAGACGUCCGAAGAAUUUGGACGGUCGUCGCCGAUUCCGCCAGAUUCAUGACUUGGGACGUAUCCUUGAUUGGAGCGAAAAACAUUGAUUUUGGUAAAUUACGAUGUUGGGGAUGAUUUGAUGCCGACUGACGUGUACAGCUUUUUCUUGUUUUUUGUAAGCAAACAGUGCCGUCAUUUGCGUUGUUGAGAACAGUUCUGUAGCCGUUGAAAUGCAAGCGAGGCGGUGUGGGUAUUGUACAGCAUUCCUAUGCAGAGGCAGCAAACUAUUUGGAACUUGUCACGACCUGUCAUUUCAAACGUUACACCUAUUUAAAAGCAGAAUGUGUUUGUAAAACAUACGAAACGACUUUGCUCAUUCUGUCAUUUACCGGCACUGAUGUAACACAAAUGUGUGAACUCUAUGAAGUGACUUUCAAUGGUAUUAAAUUUCGAUUUAAAGCUUUCGUGACUGCAGGUAUUCAUCUUCUUGGUUCUUUCGGUAAAGUCACGUAGAAGGGAAGUAAUAAAAUAAUAAAAAUAAAACAUAAUAAAAUAAUUCUCACGACGUUUCGGCCACAACGCAAGCAGCCGUCCUCAGGUGAAGAACCUGUGUGGGGGACCACUUUAUUACUUCCCUUCUACGUGACUUUACCGAAAGAACCAAGAAGUUAAAUGGUAUUGUUGCACAUUUGACACUGGAACAUUUUUUUCCUGAAUGCAGUGAAAGGUGGAACCCUCACAGGUGGAGGGGGGGGGGGGGAGUUAAAACUCGGUUCACAAUUCAGCAGAGCCCCGUUUAUUUAAAUUGCGUGCCCUGCCCGCACAUCACGAUUCACACUGAAGUACAGUUUCCACACAAAACCGCGGAGAAACGCACGCACGCACGAGAGAGAAAAAAAAAUCAAAACUCAAAAUAGUAACUAAACAAUAAAACAUAAAUCUGGAACGCCGCGAAGUAUAUUUCUCAGAUUGUAGGUCCGGGUCGAGGUACAAAGCACCGCCACGCAGGAGCAUUCUGUGCUCGCUCGAUCGAUCAACCGGCGGACUGGAAGUUUUGUAUUUACGCUCGGGCGAUGUUUCGCAAAGAGCAGCCUGAGCAGGACCGCGGUUCCCUGCUCCCUGGCGAGACGGAGAGCCCCCCCCCCCUCGGGGAGAGGGCUGGUGGAGACAAAUCCUGGAGAACACGGGCAGUUCGUUCCGUGGGGGGUCCUAAAAGCCACGCACGCAACCUCACAUGUUGUGGUCGUGGGUUUGAACUCGUUGGUCAGCAGUGCUGGAUUUAAGUUUAAAAAAAAUCCGCGCUGUUGCAAACAUAUUGAUAAAAGUAACAAGAAUUUUCCAGUGGAUUUGUCGACUCAUAGAAUGAUCACAUCGGUGUCCCGUAGGUGUCCCGUUGGUGUCCCGUAGGGGUCCCGUUGGUGUCCCAUAGGGGUCCCGUUGGUGUCCCGUAGGGGUCCCGUAGGGGUCCCGUUGGGGUCCCGUUGGUGUGUCCCGUAGGGGUCCCGUUGGGGUCCCGUUGGUGUCCCGUGCAGUGGUUCCCCGACCUGUGUGGGGGACCCACGACUAAAACGGACGGACCGUCAACCCUAAAAAAAAAACUUUUUGACGCACCACCAAUCGAGAAAAACUUUUUGAAAAUAUAAAAACCGACGAAAUAUUCGUUAUCUGCUAAGACUUCCACGGAGCACACCCCACGGCCUUGCAGGUCGCUGUGGGACCGUCGGGUGAAAAUGAUUUGCGUGUUUUGUCUUAUCCAGUUGUGUCCCCAAAGUGUGGAUUUUCCUCAAAACGCGUGGUGUUUAUACAGUGUAAUGUAUUUAGGUACUAGCGAUGCACCGAGUAAGGACCUCCACGCGAGGCGGCAUUGGUAAUUUUACAUGUGUAGAGGUCACACGUCGUAGAUGUGACCCCUUGCAGCCACUAGAGGCUCUACAUUCAACACUUAAAACAAAUCUUUAAAUCGCAACCCUGCAUCGUGAUGAUUAACAAUUCGCGGAGGGCGGAAAUCGUCACACGCCUAAAGUAUACAGGCAAAGCAUCAGUGUAAGGAAUAUUGAGCGCUUUAACUUUGAGCGUCAAUUUAAAGAGAUUGUAUUUAACACAAGUGCUAAUGGCAACCCAUGGAGAAUGAUUGUACCGCAGAAUUCUUUUCAGUUUUGUUAACUUUGUUUUGUCGGGAGUUGUAAGGGUUGCAACAGUGAAACGCGUUGGACCUAAAUAAAAAAAAAAUCGAUUCAGGAAAAUGUAACCAAAGUUUUCCAGCGGGCAAAUAACCGUAACAUUGAUGAUAAACACAACUAUGCAUCAAUGAACCGAUUAACACGACUCUAAAACUCGCGAUACACGCAUCAACUCGCAUGUGUAAGAAUCGAUGCUCUUCCACCAGCGCGUGUUUUUCAUGCAAUGGGUUCACGUCAUCCCUGCAGCCACUCGUGGGUGCUGCAUUCACCAUUAAAACAAAAAACACAAUGGAACGGUGACACCUAAUCGCAAAAAUCAAAUCAUGGGGGGGCCAGGAGGUUCACUUUGAAACAUCUCAAACAUACACAAAGUAGGGAUUCAUCUUCUUGGUUCUUUCGGUAAAGUCACGUAGAAGGGAAAUAAUAAAAUAAUAAUAAAUCAUAAUAAGAUACAAUUCUCACGACGUUUCGGCCACAACGCAA